GACUUUAUGAUAUUGCUCAUUACCAAAGCAAAUAAACAAUGUAGAGUCGUGUUUCUACAUCAAGUCAUCAACUGUAUGUUUGUUGGUCCUCUUUCUGGGCCAACUUUCAAUUAUGAAGUUUAGCUUUAAUAGAGAUUAUAUAUGAAAUGAUGAUGGCUAGGAGGAUGGAGUACUGCCUCAUGAGUAUUGUUGUGCUACUGGUGCUGGUUCUUCUGUCUUCUUCUACGGCGUUUCCGAGCGCAGCAACAUCUACCGGAGAUGGCUUUACUGGAACAACGAUGUCGUCUCAAAAGGGUAUAGAAGAUACGGGUCAUGAAGAAGCUGCUGCUAAUUAUGGUGGAGAUUACGAUUAUUAUCGACAGUAUGGUGAUGUUCCAAGCCCUGGAGUUGGUCACUGAAAAUGAUCAAGUCUCCCCUUCUGCUAGCUAUGCCUUGUUUUGUUGUUUUUAAUUUUCUGUGUGCAUCUCUCUGUUAGAUUUGUAAGUACCUUCUUGUUAAUAUAUACAUAUAUAUUAUAUAUAUAUGUCCUCUUUAUAUAUAUAUACAUACAUGGAUCGUUUAUUCUUUCUAAGAAUAA